UGUCCCAUCCUAAUUAGUAAAUGGAGAAUUCUACUCAACCCAUAGGGAUUUUUGUGUUACUAUUUCUUUGUAAUGCAAUCAUAGUGGGAUGCAUUCCAUCUAUCGAAGAGGAAACUCAUAAUUGCUAUGGCCUUUUGACCUUCAUCCAACAUUCUUCUCGGCAAGCAAGAACACUAGCUACCUUGUAUCAAAAUUAAGAAUUUUCUUAUUCUUCUACUCAUUUCUGGCUAGGAGGAGGUCGUAUUGAUUAUUGUGGCGCACAUGCCUCACCAGAUGUAUAUGGCUUUAAUUUACAUCGUGGCCAAGAAACCGCAGCUCCCAUUUGGAUUGUAGAUAGGGCUUCACAAAACGGAAUUCAAGCUGGAUGGCAUGUUUCACCGGAGUUGUACAAUGAUUCUCAUACUCACUUCUACACGGCUUGGACGACUGGCACUGGCAAGAGUUGCACAAACAUGCUUUGCCCUGGCUUUCACAAAAUAUCAUCAAGCAUAGCUCCAGGGAUGAUCCUCGACAAAGUUUCAAGAAUACAUGGACCAAAAUGGUUUAUGACACUAAGAGUAUUCAAGGAGAAAUCUUCUGGUGAUUGGCAUGUCUACCUAUACAAAGAUAAUGGUAUUCAAGAACUAGUAGGUUACUUUCCAAAGUAUUUGGUUCCAGGACUCAUAAAUAAACAAGUUGAGAUAAGUUUUGGUGGCUAUGUGUAUCACAAGAAACCACAACCGAGUCCUCCAAUGGGUAGCGGUUAUGUUAUAGCCAGCAGGAAUGCGGCAUCAUUCAACAUCCUAAGGCUUAUCGAUGCUCAUGGUAAUGAUCAUGUAGUCAAUACUGAUCUGCCAUCUUAUAUUGACGGGAAGGGUUGUUACACUCCUUCACACAUUGACGCUUCAACUAUAUUCUUUUAUGGGGUUCCAUAACAAGGGUACAUCAGAAUGAAAGAGCUCGCCUAGGCAAAGCAGUGACCCAAGAUGAUUCUACUAGACGACCUCUUUUGCACGCAAGAACGUUCCUACUUCCUCAUGUGGAUUUUAUGCAAAAAGGAUUUCAGCACUGCUUGCACAACUUCA